rnacentral:rRNA from 1 species
UACGUAGGGGGCAAGCGUUGUCCGGAAUUAUUGGGCGUAAAGAGCGUGUAGGCGGCCAGAUAAGUCCGCUGUGAAAUCUCGAGGCUCAACUUCGAGCUGUCGGUGGAAACUAUCUGGCUAGAGUCCGGAAGAGGAGAAUGGAAUUCCUGGUGUAGCGGUGAAAUGCGCAGAUAUCAGGAAGAACACCCGUGGCGAAGGCGGUUCUCUGGGACGGUACUGACGCUGAGGACGCGACAGCGUGGGGAGCAAACAGG